rnacentral:rRNA from 1 species
UACAGAGGUCUCAAGCGUUGUUCGGAUUCAUUGGGCGUAAAGGGUGCGUAGGCGGCGGGGUAAGUCUGAUGUGAAAUCCCGGGGCUCAACUCCGGAACUGCAUUGGAUACUGCCCUGCUUGAGUACUGGAGAGGAGACUGGAAUUUACGGUGUAGCAGUGAAAUGCGUAGAGAUCGUAAGGAAGACCAGUGGCGAAGGCGAGUCUCUGGACAGUUACUGACGCUGAGGCACGAAGGCCAGGGGAGCAAACGGG